UUAAGUUGGAAAAUAAUAGAAAUUUCUAGCAAUGUUGACUUUUGCUUCCUAAAGCAAAGGCACGUAGUGUAUAGCGGUGUUUAUUCCUAAUCAUCUUCUCUCUCUUUUGCAACAAGUAUCAAAAAUAUAUAUUGGGUCCUCUCUUCUGCAACGACGAUACUACUAGUAUUUGUAGUUCUCUCUUUUGUUUCCUCUCCCUCUUCUUUCAAUAUCAAGGAAUUAAUCUCAAAAUUUCAGUUAGGGUGAAUUUCAAGAGUUAAUGGUGGUUGAUUGCUUGCUCCCCAAUUGAACGGUGAAAGCUUAUGGUUAGUCGCAUAAAGCUUGUAUCCCCGUAUAUUGAGUUAUUCGAGGCUCAUGAUAUUGCCGGUAAGUAGGAAAGUACUAGAGGUAUGUAAAGCUAAACCCUCCUUCGCCGUUAAGGCACAACUCAUAGUCAUUUGUUUCUCCUAACGGAGUAUAUGUAGUUUACUCGAUAUACAGGAGCAAAUCUUUCACUUUCUAUAUGUUAACACGUGACUAUAUGCCUAAUAUCGCCACAAUGUUCUUGCCCCCUUCCCAUUUUAAAUUGCUUGUCCCCAUCCUUCACGUGCCUACUUAUUGGAGUUGCAAUAUUCAUUUUUUUCUCUUGUCAAGUCAAGUACUUAUAGAGCGACACAUGAUUGUAUUCCUGUGAAUUGGAAAUCCUUAGAAUUCAAACAUUAUGUCUAUCACAUGCAAUAUGUUUAGAAUAAAUGGCCAUAGUAUAGUCGAAUUUGUAUAUUGGAUCACAUAGCAAUAUAGUUAUAGGAGAAAAUAAGAACUAGCAUUUGAAUAGCUCGAUACUAGUAAAGAAAUUAGUGAAAUACGGAAAGUAUUACUUUAAUGUCUGAAUAGCAUUUAUCAUGAUACAUUGCAUAGGCCUAUAAGACACUACUUGAUAAGGUUAACAACGGGAGAGUAUAUAGAUUUGACUUGGCAUAUCACUCGCUGUGAUUCUGUGCACAGGAUCGAGAUCAUACCAUUAUAGUGAGCCCAAACAUUGUGGCGUACCCGCCUUUGUGGCACCAUUUGCAUUUGAAGUCAGCUGGAGUUCCCCUGACUUGAGCCAAUAUAUGGCACAUAUCACCUGCGGGCAGACCCAUAUAGUGAGCUCCUAAGGAGGGGCGUACCCUAAAGCAGACUGCGAUCCAUUAACCCAGACAUACAUAGACAUGGGGUAACAUUGCCAUACAUUUGACACGAAACGCCUUCGAUAGGCGAUGUUAUGAUCAAUUGUAUUUGAUAUGGGCAUUGGACAUCACCUAGGCAAAUUGUUAGGUGUCUUAUGAUGAUGAACAUUUGAGAACCCAUAUACAAACUAAUAAGGUUGCCUACAUAAGUCAUACUAUAGUUCCUAGGAAAUAUUGAUCCAUAAUUACUCCUUAAUAAUUGAAAUAUGAAAUGCCAGUUAAACUAGUGCAUUAGCCACCGUUUCACAUUGCAUAACAGCUGCUCACAUGCUCAUAAGUCAUUUAUCUUGAUGUUUGAUCCAUAUGAGCAUCCACAUGUGUUACUUGUUAUUCUGUCCGCUUUACAUGUCAGUACAUCCAUAUGAGCAUCCACAUGUGUUACUUGUUAUUCUGUCCGCUUUACAUGCCAGUACAUGUUUUAUAUGUACUGACGUCUCUUCGUUCGGGACAUUCCAUCUCUAUAACACUGGAUCAGAUAUGCUGAUAAGCGGACUCUAUACUAGGCACUCGUCCCAUGCUCUGAAAGUCGUUGGUGAGCUUCUAUCUCAUCUGGAGCUAGUAGAGGUCUAAUACUCUUUAAUCAUGUUUGUAGUUAUAACUUAGGUAGGUUAGGGACCCCGUCCCAACUAUAUUCUACUGUAUGAGUAUAGAUUCUAUUAGAGGCUUCGUACAACAACAACAACAAACUCAGUGUAUUCCCACCAAGUGGGGUCUGGGGAGGGUAACAUAUACACAGUCCAUACAGCUACCUCCGAAGAAGUAGAGAUAUUGUUUUCGAUAGACCCCCGGCUCUAUUAGAGGCUUCGUAGACAACAUUAAAUCAUCUCACGUGGUUAUAAUUGUAUGUCUAUAGCAGUUGGGUUCAAUAUAUGUCAGUGGGAUAAUGUAUGCUUAUAUGGUUCUUGUCCGCUCUAUGAAGACUUGGGGGCGUGACAUUAGUAUAAUACAGCGAGUAUCUUCUCCCUCCUUUCAGCGUCAAGGAACUUGGCCGUCUCAUCCAUCUACUAUAUAUCAAGAUGAAGAAUGUUAUUCCUUGAUAUGACAGAAUAUAUAAUCAAAAGAAAACAUGAAUGCAAACGAUGUUUAGACCACACCAUAAUAUAUAAACUGACCAAUGCAAAUUACACAUCACUAUUCUUAUGAUAACUUUCCAUAAUUUUCAUCAUCAUUUUUGGGAUAUAAUAUCAAGCUAAAAUUAGGAGUGUUUGUUUGUUUUGUAACGCCUCGAUUAAUUUUAAAAUUUAUUUUAAUGUUUUAGAUAAGUAUAAUUCUUAAUUCAUAGAGAUUUACGUGGUACAUGUAUUGUAAAGAAAAUUAUAUUAUUUUGUGUGUGUGUAAAUAUAGCGUAUGCAAUGCGUAAAGAAAAUAAAUGAAUUAAUAUAUUGUUGUGUCCAAGAUUGUAAGAAUAUUAAAGUGUGCUCGUUAUUUAUUCUAAGAUGUUAAAAUUAUAAAGUGGUGAGAAUAUUUUGUUAGAUUUUCAAUAAACAAAUUAUUAUUAUACUAUUAAGUGCAAAGGAGGGGGCAUUUAACACUUUAACUAGAAGUGUUUCCAGAAAACAAAUUGCUUGCCCUCCCCUGUUCCCUUUCCUCUCCAUUCCUUACUUCUCUAUUUCCUUACUUCCCACCAAAAAAAAAAAAGAAAUUUAUUUUGAAGAAUCAGGUGGAGGAUUAAGGGCUAGAAAGGAAUUUCUUCGCCAGAAAGUCAUAUUGCUACGAUCCUAAGUUAGUCUUUAUCUGAAAACUUCUUAAAUUCUAUUUAGAAUUCAAGUUGGGGUUAACUCCCUAAAAGUUAAUUUUUAUUCACUUCGUACUUGAAUUUAAUUAUAGAAUAUAUGUUGAGAUGUAAUACUAGUUGUUGAUUGUUGUUUAAUUGAACCCUUGCACUCUUUUUGGAGUGAGUUCUUGAGAAAUUGCAAGAAAAGAGGGUUUUUAGGGAUUUCUAUCAAUUGGUUGCUUUAAUGGUGUAUUGUAUUAGGUGGAAAAGUUAGAACCCAUUUCGGAUUAUUGUUAGGAAAUUAUAUUGAUUUCGGGCGUAUUCAAAGAGUGUUGAAUUAAAUUGUUAAAUGUUCCUAUGAGUUACUAAUGGACGCAUAUGUUAUCCUUGUAAUUAGUGAAUUGUCUAGUGAAUAGCGGAAGUUGCUGGUUGGGAAGAUAAAAGUUCUACUCCUGCUGUUGAGUUAUUUGGGGCUCGAAAUACUAUCAUAGCUAAAUAGGCACCAAGGUAUGUAAAACUAAAACCUCCUUCGCCUUAAGGCACGACCUAUUGUCGUUUGUUUCUCCUAAAAUAGUCGGCAUAGUCUACUCUAUAUAUGUGAAUAGAGUUCUCAGUUUCUAUAUGCCUAACACAUGACCACGUUCCCUUUUCACUUGAAAUCACGUCUUCAUGUCUCAUGCAUUUAUUGUUGAAGUGACAAAUGUUCGUACUACUAUCUAUAGAGUUGGUUCGUCUUCAAUAGAAAUUCUCAUAAGUCAUCUAGUAUAUCGUCGUAUGCUUUAUAUUAGAAUAAAUGGUCAUACUAUAGUCGCACUAAAUUAGAUCACAUAGCGAUAUAGUCAUAUGAUAACAUAAAGUACAAGCGUUUUAAUAGUUCGAUACUAUCAAAAAGGCCAGUUGCAUAUGAAAAACGUUACUUGAAUAACUAAUCAAUAUUCAUCGUAAUAUAUACUUGCAUAGGCCUACGAGGCACCAUUGAUGAAAGUUAACAACGGGAGGGUAUUCAUAGGUUAGGCUUGGCAAACAUGCGACGUAAUUCUGUGCACAUAAUUGAGACCAGACCACUAUAGCGAGCCCGAAUGCAUGGCGUACCUUCCUUGUGGCAUCAUUUGCAUUUGGAGUCAGAUGGAGUGCUCCUGACUCGAGCCAAUAUAUGACACAUAUGGCAUAUGGGCAGACCCUUAUAGUGAGUCCCAAGGAUAGGCGUACCCUGCAUCAGACCGCAGUUACAGUUAACAUCAUAAUCAGGAGUAUCUGGAUAACACAUACGGUACACUUGACAUAGAGUGCCCUUGGUGGGCCAUCAUAUGAUUAUUUGUAUUAAAAGUAGGCACAAGACAUCACUUGGGCAAAUUGCUAGGCCCUUAAUAACGAUGAUUUAUUUAGAAGUGGUUAUAUGAUAAGUUAAUAGGGUAAACACAUAGGUAACAAUCUUCUAUGGUGUAUUUGUCAACCGUCCUUUCAUAAGCUAUAGUGUCAUAUAUGAGGUUCUAGUAUUCAGUCAUCCGCAAUUGCUCACUCUAUUGUUUGAUUCAUGGAGCAUCCUUAUACGUUUACUUGUUAUUCUGUCUGCUUUACAUACUAGUACAUAUUUCAUAUGUACUAACGUCCCUACGUUUGGGGACACUGCAUUCCUAUAAAUACAGAAUCAGGUAUAUUGACGAGCAGACAUCUAUACUACGCACUUGUUCGUAUUCAGCAAGGCAGUUGGUGAGUUCCUCUCUUAUCUGGGGCUAUUAAACAUCGAGUACUAUUUAAUCAUAUUUCUAGUUAUAGAUUGGGUAUGUAGGGCCCCUGCCCCGGCCACCUUCUCCAGUACAUUUAUAGCUUCUCUUAGAGGCUCCAUAGACUGAGAUAAGCUCUUAUACGUGAUCAUAGUUUCAUAUGUUUAUAUCAAAUAAGUGUUCAAUGCGAUGGAAUUGAGUUGUACAUGACCCUUUAUCAUUGUUUGUAAAUUGCAACUCCUUCAUACAUGUUAGCCACAUAGCUGACACUCAUACGGUUCUUGUCCGCCAUGCCUAAGCUAGGCUAGGGGCGUGACAUUUUCGCGAUUUGAUUUUGUUGUUUCCAAUAGGGCCUUGGAAUGUAAAAUUUUCUUAUUAUAAAAUUGGAAAAUGAACAAAUGUCUAUGGA